CGUCCCGCCGGGAGUCAAGCAAAGGUCCCAGGACAGCUGGCCGGGGCUGCCCUGUGCCCCUGGGGUGGCGGCCGGGGCGGGGGUAGGGGCUCUAGCAGGUGCAUGGCAGGCCGAGUGGCUCAGCCAGGGCCAGGCUGCCAGGGCCAAAGGUGGCUUCAUCGCCUUCACUGCCCACAGGGUAGGAGGAGCUUAGGGGGCUGAGUGGGAGGUGCCUAGGACACUGGGUAGGAGGAGCUUAGGGGGCUGAGUGGGAGGUGCCUAGGGGACUGAGUGGGAGGAGCUUAGGGCACUGAGUGGAAGGUCUCUAAGACACUGGGUGGGAGGUACCUAGGGCACUGGGUGGGAUGUCGCUAAGACACUGGGUGGGAGGUACCUAGGGCACUGAGUGGGAGGAGCUUAGGGCAUUGGGUGGGAGGUGCCUAAACACUGGGUAGGAGGAGCUUAGGACACUGAGUGGAAGGUCUCUAAGACACUGGGUGGGAGGUGCCUAGGGCACUGAGUGGGAGGAGCUUAGGAUACUGAGUGGGAGGUCUCUAAGACACUGGGUGGAAGGUACUUAGGGCACUGAGUGGGAGGAGCUUAGGGCAUUGGGUGGGAGGUGCCUAAGAUACUGAUUGGGAGGAGCUUAGGGCACUGGGUGGGAGGGGUGAGGGCAUGACCCUGCAGACGCUGCCGGCAAGGGGUCCUUGCUGGGUUUGCUUCACCCUUCCUGGCCUCCUGUUAAACCCCUCGCUCCCCCUGGAGGCCAGGGCAGCCCUCCCUACCCUGGGCCGCAGCAGCUAGGAUAUAGGCUUUGCACGUUCUCAAUGAAGAGCCCCACCAGGUCGACAAUGUUCCUCUCAAACAUGCUUAUGGUCUCCUGGAAAUGAGAACGCACAGUCACCGUGCGUCUUCAGACGCCCAGCACCACGGCAUAAACACCCUAGGGACCGAGCAGCCAUCUGCCCGCUCACACACCAGCCACCGUGCCCUCUCAGGCCCGACUCACUCACCGCCAGCACCCUCCGAAGUGUCAUGUCGGUGCCCUGUGCCGGGCCCACCUGUCACAGCCUGACUCCUCUCAACCCCCCCCCCCCAC